UCCUGUCACCCAUCAGCCACGAGUCCAAUUUGGAAAGGGGCCGCAGACGAGUUCGGGGUCUCGGAGUCGCAGGGCCGCCCCCUUCCCAUGUCAGCAGCACGCAGGAAGUGUCGCAGGCAGAGCUGCAGAUGGAGCGGGUCCCAACGUGAGCCGGCCAUGCCAGAAUGUCCGUGACAGGGAGAGCCGUCUGCGACCCGGCCCACGAAGGUCACUUAAAUAAAUCUCAUUCCCAAGAGAGCGUAAAAGACAAUUUGUUUUAUCUCAUCCCUUCAUGAGUCACUGGACCACAAACAAGGCUGCCUGUUUGGCUGUGAUAUCACACAUUCGCAUGGACUGUCUACAUUGCUGCCCGCAAGGUGACACAGUGGCUAAGGGGCUGCAACUGACUAAGGAGGUCAUUGUCACAAGAGCCAUGCGCGGAGAAUACCACAGGAGGACCUGGAAGAACCGAGGCUUGAUACGGACAGCUAACGGGAAGUGGGUCGGUCCCUGGCUUCCACGAAAUUAUCCACAAGAUGCCCUCGUUCACAAGGAAAAAAAUAAUUUUCUUUACAGCGCUGGGUGUGGUUAGAAUACAUGCAGAAUACAUCCUUUUUUCGUUAAA